rnacentral:rRNA from 1 species
AUAAAUCGUUAAGGGCGUAUGGCGGAUGCCUAGGCUUUCAGAGGCGAAGAAGGACGUGGUAAGCUGCGAAAAGCUACGGGGAUUGGCACACACGAAUUGAUCCGUAGAUAUCCGAAUGGGGCAACCCAAUACAUUGAAGAUGUAUUACUGCGUAAGCAGAGCGAACCCGGAGAACUGAAACAUCUAAGUACCCGGAGGAAAAGAAAUCGAAGAGAUUCCGUUAGUAGUGGCGAGCGAAAGCGGAUUAGCCCAAAAGUUGUAGUAUGUUUAGUAGAAUACUUUGGAAAGAGUAGCCAUAGAGGGUGAUAGCCCCGUAAAUGAAAGGCAUAUUAUGAUGAUAAUAGAGUAGGGCGGGACACGUGAAAUCCUGUUUGAAUAAGGGGGGACCAUCCUCCAAGGCUAAAUACUCCUGAAAGACCGAUAGUGAACGAGUACUGUGAAGGAAAGGUGAAAAGCACUUCGAAUAGAAGGGUGAAAGAGAACCUGAAACCAUACGCCUACAAGCGGUCGGAGCACCAAUAUGGUGUGACGGCGUGCCUUUUGCAUAAUGAGCCUACGAGUUAAUUGUACUAGCGAGGUUAAGAUAUUAAGUAUCGGAGCCGUAGGGAAACCGAGUCUGAAUAGGGCGAAUAGUUAGUAUGAUUAGACGCGAAACCUUGUGAUCUACCCAUGGGCAGGUUGAAGCUUUGGUAACACAAAGUGGAGGACCGAACCGGUUGACGUUGAAAAGUCUUCGGAUGACCUGUGGGUAGGGGUGAAAGGCCAAUCAAACUGGGAGAUAGCUCGUACUCUCCGAAAUGCAUUUAGGUGCAGCGUCAAUGAUAAGUUUAUUAGAGGUAGAGCUACUGAUUGGAUGCGGGGGUUUCAUCGCCUACCAAUUCCUGACAAACUCCGAAUGCUAAUAAAUGUUCGUUGGCAGUGAGGGCAUGGGUGCUAAGGUCCAUGUCCGAGAGGGAAAGAACCCAGACCAACAGUUAAGGUCCCCAAAUAUAUGCUAAGUUGAAGCAACGCGGUUGAACUGCCUAGACAGCUAGGAUGUUGGCUUGGAAGCAGCCAUUCAUUUAAAGAGUGCGUAACAGCUCACUAGUCGAGCGGUUCGGCAUGGAUAAUAAUCGGGCAUAAGCAUAUUACCGAAGCUAUGGAUUUGUACGUAAGUACAACUGGUAGGAGAGCAUUCUAUCGGCGUAGAAGCUGAGUCGUGAGGCUUGGUGGAGCUUAUAGAAAAGAAAAUGUAGGCAUAAGUAACGAUAAAGCGGGCGAGAAACCCGCUCACCGAAAGACUAAGGUUUCCUCAGCCAUGCUAAUCAGCUGAGGGUUAGUCGGGGCCUAACGCGAACCCGAGAGGGGUAGUGGAUGGACAUAGGGUUAAUAUUCCCUAACUUGCUCACGAGGAAAGUGACGGUUCAAUGAGACUUAAGAAGACUGACGGAAUAGUUAAGACCUAGCCUACGGGCGAAGUUGAUUAAGAGCAGUUGGAUCCAAGAAAAGCGAGUGAAGCAACCCGUACCAUAAACCGACACAGGUAGUCGAGGAGAGGAUCCUAAGGUGCUCGAGUGAGUCGUGGCUAAGGAACUAGGCAAAAUAGUCUCGUAACUUCGGGAGAAGAGACGCCAACAGCGAUGUUGGCCGCAGUGAAGAGGCCCAGGCGACUGUUUAACAAAAACACAGGACUCUGCUAAAUCGAAAGAUGCUGUAUAGGGUCUGACACCUGCCCGGUGCUGGAAGGUUAAGGAAGGUGCUUAGCGUAAGCGAAGGCAUUGACUGAAGCCCCAGUAAACGGCGGCCGUAACUAUAACGGUCCUAAGGUAGCGAAAUUCCUUGUCGGGUAAGUUCCGACCUGCACGAAUGGUGUAAUGAUUUGAGCGCUGUCUUGACGGGAGGCCUGGUGAAAUUGUAUUACCGGUGAAGAUACCGGUUACCUACAGUAGGACGGAAAGACCCCAUGGAGCUUUACUGUAGCUUGGUAUUGGGUUUUGGCAUUGCAUGUAUAGGAUAGUUGGGAGACUGAGAUGAUAUGGCGCUAGCUGUAUCGGAGUCAUCGGUGGAAUACCAACCAUUCAAUGCUGAAAUUCUAAUCUGUGGUUUGUAGCCACGGAGACAGUGCUAGGUGGGCAGUUUGACUGGGGCGGUCUCCUCCCAAAGAGUAACGGAGGCGUUCAAAGGUUCUCUCAGGUUGGAUGGAAAUCAACCAUAGAGUGCAAUGGCAUAAGAGAGCUUGACUGCAAGACUGACGGGUCGAGCAGAUGCGAAAGCAGGACAUAGUGAUCCGGCGAUUCCGAAUGGAAGGGUCGUCGCUCAACGGAUAAAAGCUACCCUGGGGAUAACAGGCUGAUCCUACCCGAGAGUCCAUAUCGACGGUAGGGUUUGGCACCUCGAUGUCGGCUCAUCGCAUCCUGGGGCUGGAGAAGGUCCCAAGGGUUUGGCUGUUCGCCAAUUAAAGCGGU